GAUGAACGCUGGCGGCGUGCCUAAUACAUGCAAGUCGAGCGAACAGACGAGGAGCUUGCUCCUUUGACGUUAGCGGCGGACGGGUGAGUAACACGUGGAUAACCUACCUAUAAGACUGGGAUAACUUCGGGAAACCGGAGCUAAUACCGGAUAACAUGUUGAACCGCAUGGUUCAACAGUGAAAGACGGUCUUGCUGUUACUGAUAGAUGGAUCCGCGCCGCAUUAGCUAGUUGGUAAGGUAACGGCUUACCAAGGCAACGAUGCGUAGCCGACCUGAGAGGGUGAUCGGCCACACUGGAACUGAGACACGGUCCAGACUCCUACGGGAGGCAGCAGUAGGGAAUCUUCCGCAAUGGGCGAAAGCCUGACGGAGCAACGCCGCGUGAGUGAAGAAGGUCUUCGGAUCGUAAAACUCUGUUAUUAGGGAAGAACAAAUGUGUAAGUAACUAUGCACGUCUUGACGGUACCUAAUCAGAAAGCCACGGCUAACUACGUG
rnacentral:rRNA from 1 species